UGAUGAUAUACACUUUAGUUGUUUGGUCUCUGAUGAUAUACCAUCAUCAGAGACCAAACAACUAAAGUGUAUAUCAUCA
rnacentral:pre_miRNA from 1 species